AAAAUCCGUCGACUUUAGAAAUCGKGAGGGUUCAAGUC
rnacentral:tRNA from 1 species